GGGAAUGUGGCCCAGUGGUAGAGCGCUUGCCUUCCAUGCAUGAGGCUCUGGGUUUGAUUCCUCAGUACCA
rnacentral:tRNA from 1 species